GGGCUCUUAGCUCAGUUGGUAGAGCAGCGGACUCUUAAUCCGUUGGUCGAGUGUUCGAGUCACUCAGGGCCCACCA
rnacentral:tRNA from 46 species